AACGAACGCUGGCGGCAGGCCUAACACAUGCAAGUCGAACGCUCUAGCAAUAGAGAGUGGCGCACGGGUGCGUAACGCGUGGGAAUAUGCCCUUGACUACGGAACAACGUCGGGAAACUGACGCUAAUACCGUAUAAUGUCUUCGGACCAAGGAUUUAUCGGUCAAGGAUUAGCCCGCGUCUGAUUAGCUAGUUGGUGAGGUAACGGCUCACCAAGGCGACGAUCAGUAGCUGGUCUGAGAGGAUGAUCAGCCACACUGGGACUGAGACACGGCCCAGACUCCUACGGGAGGCAGCAGUGAGGAAUAUUGGACAAUGGAGGCAACUCUGAUCCAGCCAUGCCGCGUGAGUGACGAAGGCCUUCGGGUUGUAAAGCUCUUUCAGAUGCGAAGAUAAUGACGGUAACAUCAGAAGAAGCCCCGGCUAAAUUCGUGCCAGCCGCCGCAGUAA
rnacentral:rRNA from 1 species